GGUUGAUGAAGGCGGCGGUGCCGGUGGAGUUGCAAGCCACCAUGUGGAAGCCCGCCUCGGAGAGCCGGUCGAAGGCUUGUUCCAGAUGCUCCCUGCACAUUGUGGAGCGCAUUCCUGCAGCUGCCUCCACUGCUCAACAUGGGAUUCCUGGAGGCUGAACAUGGCUGAAGAACAUGUAGGGAAGCACCUCCAGACUUGAGCAGCUCUGAUGAACAGCCUGGAAGUGAAAGGCAAACAGUUAAACGGAGGAGAACAUUAUUUACCCUUCUUCCUAGAUUUCUGCCACCACAGUGCGUUACAAAAGGUUUCAGGACUCGGGAGUAGAUGUUGACCUGUGAGAAUGCAAGGCACAGAUUUCAUGCGCUUGUAAGUGUGUUGCAUAGGAUCGGAGGAUAAAAGCAAAUUUAAUCUUUUUUAUUAAUAAUUCAGUUGCUAAUCUGUUUUUAUAAGUGUGUAAGGGUUCUAUUAUCUACUCUCUAGGCAUCAGCUUCCUAUUGAUAUUAAUGACUAUUAUGUAAACUUAGUUGUGAUUACAUUAAUUUAGUUAUAGAAAAACAUUGCUCCAAGUAAUGUAACAGUAGUUUUCUAGGACAUGCAUUUACCCUUUUUCAUCAUGGGAUGGGCUUGUGCUAUACAAGAACAUUAGUAUUUUCAUCACGUGGAACAACUUACUAUGUGAUUAUGUGAUACACCUGUACAUCAUUGAAAUGUUCUCAUAUUGAAAAUUUCCUUCUAUGGAAAACAGAACUACAGAUGCAAAGUGGUUAUUUUCAGUGACUCAUCUAAUGCUACUGAUUUCUAAAACUGUCUAUUUGUUAUUAUCUAGAGUUAUAAUUCCUUAACCACACCUUAUACCUAUGCUGUCCUAAAGUUCUGCUUAACUACAAUCUUAAUUUUUUCUGUAGAUGGAUAACUGUGUUAAUUGUGCAGCAGGCUCAGAUAAAUUUCUACCUGUUAUUACCAGCAUAGUAAUGAUAUUGGGGAAAAAGAACUCAGGAUUGCACCAAAUCCUAACCAUUCAAGUGAUUCUUGCUUAUUUAAUACUGCAAAUAACAUCCUCAUGAAACCUGUUUUGUAUCUACUGCCAGGUGAUAUUUCUCUGGUCCAUGGAGGAAAGUCCAGGUCUUUCAUUCCCCCUUCCAUACAGGCACAUGUAUGGCAAUCUUCUGUCUUGUUCUUAAUCAGAAGAAAAUGCAGGCAAAAAAAUUACAAGACUAAUUAUCUAUUUAAUCACUACUGCAAUAUUAAAAGGUGAAGUUACAGUUAAUGGUACUUUGUUGGUUUUGAGGAAUGUCAUUGCAGCAGCCAAAAGACAUAUGCCUAUAUGUCAUAGACACAUAUGCCACAUCUAGCAAAAAAAGUUUGAUGCUACCAGCUUCCUGCUUAAAAUCCCUUUUAAAUCACAAUAAAAGACCAAAUCCCUACCAUAAUACUUUCUGAAAAGAAAAAUACAGCCUGCCAGUAUCCUGCCUUAGCUGGGAGGUAAGGAAGAUUUCAUUCACUGUUUAUCAGUGUUUAUGCCCAUGCCCUUUCUGUACAGAUGGAAAUUCAGUGAAGCAGAAGCUAUUUGGAAAAUAGAAGCAGACUGGCAAAGACUUACAGCAAGAUAUGAAAAUAAAAGGCUCAGUACUAUUUGCUAGAAAUGGCAAUGCAAACUAGCUCCAUAUCUGGAAAGAAUGCUUCACUUUUUCAAGUGCUGUCAGCUUGUUGGUUGCUUGUUGGUUGUUUGUGGGGUUUUUUUUCCCACAGUUUCUAGCCUUGAAUACUUAUUAAUAAGUGUUCUUAAUCAAAUGGCUGGUUCAUAUUUAAAUUACAUAGGAAUGGAUAGCUGACCAAGGAGUAAGGAAACUAAGAUGUCAAAUUACUGUGUCUGAAGGUUUGUUGAACUUUUUUAGAGAUUGUUUAAUGUGCCAGUGUCAGUGCUGGGUUCUGGCAUGUAUUCUUGUGGCUCCUGUACUAAUAAAUGAGCUUGAUGUCUCCUGAGGGAUUGACAUAAUAUGACCUUGGAUUUUUUUUCCUAUUAAAUAUAGGAUAUCUCUGCA